rnacentral:misc_RNA from 1 species
AGGUGUAACACCAGCUGAGAAGCUACUGGAAUUGUACCAUGGGAAGUGGGGACAAAGUGUGGAUCCUAUCUUUGAGGAGCUUCUCUACUGAAGUUGUUUGAGAGUGCAAUUUCAAUUCUGUCUUUUUCCUGUGUUGUAAAUGAUUUCUCAAUUUCAUUGAGAGUUAUAUCAGCCGAUUUUUCCAUCGUUAGACAAAUAAUCUAGCUAGCUAGAUUAAGAUAUGUUACAUGUAUCUAUGGCUCGAAAACGUCAUAUGUAGCUCUCUCCCCUUGGGAUGUGAUCAAUCUGGUUCCAGAUAGCAUUUGUAUACAUUUUCCCCA